GACUUAAGACAGACACAAGUUGUUCACUAAAAACAGUCGGGGCUGUAAAUGAUCUUGCCAUUAACAUAUAUUUGUAGUAUUUAAGAUGUAUUGUCUUUUCAGGUAUGCAGUCAUUGUAUAUAGCUUUACUGUACUCAAAUGUUGCCACAUGGAUGUAAAAUGUAACCUAAAAUUACAAACAGGAAGGAUGAAAAACUGCUUUAAAGCAACUGCAACAUCUCCUGGCAGAGAUCACAGAAAGAAAGGGAAAAUAAAGUCCUCAACUUUAUAGAAAGUUUUGAAGAUUUCAAUUAACUCCAGCAGAAUUUGACUUGGCUGUGCACACACCAAAAGAAAACUCACUCUGCACAUACAAAAUGCAGACACUCCAAAGAGCACGUCAUCCAUCAUUCAAGCACAAGAAUUCUCAUGUGAGCGUAAACCUAUUCUCCACUAUGGAAUCCUCCGUGAUUUUGGAAAGAAGGACCAUAUCAUCCACUCCACUCUGCUUGACAUUGUGGCUCUGCCAGUGAUAUCUGUAGUGUCCUUUGCUGCCCUGCAGGAAAGCACAAUAAGCAUCAAAAAGGUUACUGUGUUUCUGAUUAGCUUUAAGUAACUGAAAACAAUCUAUUCAAAUCCCAACUUCCAAAAUAUUUUUCUUUCAUUGAAUUCUAUUCCUUGGCCUGGGCAUUACAUAAAAGCAUACAUAAAUUAUGUCAACCAACUUGCCUCUGAACUAUUAAGGAAUUGCACUGCCCUCAAAAAUUAGAAGGUAAUUUCACAGGGUUUAUGAAUGUCUACGCACAGAAGGGGUUUCAGAUGGCAGACAUUUCUAAAUCCAGCAGAAAAAAACAAUUAUUCCAAAUGAGAUGCAGUUACUGAAAGCUAAGGAUGCAAAAAUUACACUCCUACAGUGCAACUAUUAGUAGUGAGGAUAAUUACCACCUGAACUAUUAAAUUGGGUACAGUAGGUUCUCCAUCAUUUACAGUCUUUUAAGUCAAACCUGCAUAGAUGUUGUUACUCAAAUGGAAGCUGAGAGCCUGCUACAGUAAGUAUUCAGUGCCAUUCUGCAGAUUAUGCUACGCGGCUUGUUGGCUGCAUGUCUUAACAGUCCCUUUUGAUCUGUUAGUCACCAUGCCUAACUGACAUCUAAAUAGAUAUUCUCUCCCCACACUUAGAGACUACUAUUUCAGGAAGCUAGUGAAAACUCAUGACAUUUCAAGCUGUACCAGUUGAAAUCAAAAUCUGCUUUUUUCCAGCUGAUUUGAACAGUAGUUAGAUUCUAUGGAUACACCCACCAAUUUAAAUCCAGUCUAGAUCAAUGCAAUUAAUUCAGCUAUAAAUUUGCUCUCCAGACCUAAACCUAUUUUCUGUAGCCUGGCAGAUAAUGCUAAUUGAGUUCUGCCAUCUUGCCUUUCUAUACAUGUAUGUUAUGGGAUCAAGUCAUAUUCAUCAGAAUAUAAGCAAUUUAUUAUUAUAAAGUAUUUUGCAGAAUAAAAUAAUGCAUAAUUUUACAGAUUAAAUAAGAAAAUGUAAGUACUCAGAACACCUUGGCUGCACUCAAGUAUUUUGAAAUGGGACGUUAGUAAUUUAGAGGUGCAACUUUGUGUGUACACGCUUCUGCACUAGCAAAUGACCUAUGCAACUGUACUAACACAAAAGUGCAUCUGCCAAAUUGUUUCCUUAGGUAAAAUAGUCAAGCACUUGUACCAACACCAACACAUAGGAGUGGGAACUACAAAUGGAGUCAGGGCAGCACAAGGUUCUUAUUUUAAGCUGGGUUGGCCAUAAGUGUUCAUUAAACUAGUCUUAGACUAUGUUUUUCCACAAACGUCACUGCAUCUAUCGGGGGUGGGGGGGUGGAAUCUAACAAAAACUUAUGAAGACACAGAUUUAAUGCAUAAUGUUUAUUAGCAAAUGGAGUCAGGCCUAUAGGUUAGCCUCAUCUCAACUGACAUCAAAACCAAGGACCAACUGGAUUUUUAUCUCCAGUUAAAUUCCACUUACACUAAAACCAGACCCAUUUUACUACUGCAGACAGCACAGAACCUGUAGGCUUUAUGUGUGUUUUCUAUUAAGUCUCCAGCCAUUGCUACCACUGAUGCAGCUCCGUCACUGCUAACAACACUCAAGAACAGUUGCAAACUUGAAUGAAAAGAAUGCUUUUCAAUAUAGUACAGGAGAGGUAAAUAUGUCUGAAAACACACAAUCUCAUCAAUUUUCUUGAACCGUCCACAACCUUACAGGAGCUUCAAUAAAACAACAAUGUUAAAUUAGCUUAGUUUGCAUGAACCUUGUCAAUUUUAUAUUUGCACAAUGGAAGCAGUGAUCUGGAGGCACUGAGAAAAUGAAGGAACCAAUUAAUUUUUGGAAAGCAUUAUAAAACAUGUGACUGAAAAAUCGGUUGAAGGUUGGGUUAUUGGAGAAAACAGAAGUCCAACAGAGAAGCAUAAUUUCCUUCAGUGUACUCAUCAGCUAUUUGUGAUAUUACACUUGGAAAAAGGAAUUGGCAGGAUGGAAAAAAAGGUAUGGUAUCAAAAUAAAUACAGAGAGUUAUAUUCUUCACAAAGCUAUACAGAGUGUGGUUUAGUAUCAGAUAAUAGAUUAAGCUACAGACAACGUAUAAGAAAUGAGAGUGCAAAAACAGUCAAGCUUCCCAUUGGAAACUAUGGCAUCAGACCCAGUAAAUUCAAUGAGAAGAGCACAAAGCUCACAAAGCCACAAGAUAUAUGGAAAAUGUGCACACAGUUUGCAAAACAGCAGGCUUUGUAAAAGUCAGUGACUGUUGCUGACUGUGACUAAGCCACACACACUACCAGGCCAAAGGGUUCUUCCCCAAAAGCAACGCGAACCAGCACACACGCAAGAGGGGCAGAGCCAGGAAGGCUCAGCUUGCCCUGAGAGCAGCUUUCCCUGGCACUUACACACUGCUUUGACAUGCAGCUGUAACCCAAUCUGAGUGCUACAGUAUCACAUACAGUCAAGUGGAAAAGGAUGCAGAGAGAUUUAAUAAAAAGGCAGCAGCCUAAAUAUCCAAGCAAGCAAUAGCACAGAAGACAUCUGAGAGUGGUAGCACUGAGUAGUUCACAUUAAUAUUGUAUCACAUUUUAAAUGGCAGUUUCUAGCAGUAGUUUGGGACUACAUUUUUUUCCCUUAAAGCAUGGCCUUGCAUGCAAGUAUACAGACAAGCAGCAAAUCAUCACCAGAUUAUUGCCAGAUUUCUCCCUAGGAUCUAGAAACAAGCCCAAGAUUUAGUAGUGCCUAACUGCAUCUGUGGUUAAGUUUUGCUCUCACCCUCCCUCCUCCAGGGACCUACCACCAGUAAGAUGGCCACGCGCAGUGGCUAGCACCUCCUUGGUCUGGGCAACAAAACAGGGAGUGCUGUUUCUACAGGACACCGCCCACCCCCAAGUUCUUGCUCUUCCAAGCAUGAGUGAGGACUACAGUCUAACCUGAAUUUAUCCACUUCAGUCACUUCCAACUGGUACUAUAACCAUGUCCAGCUAAGAGUCCACUGGUUUUUAUAUGGUUUUGAAAUUAAACACACACACAAAAAAAUCUUUCUGUCAUAAAUCAUCUGAAAAAAUCCACAUCAUAGCAGUUGUAAAAGUAACUCUUUGUAUUUCUCCAGACUGCAUAUUUCCUAAAGGUCAGGGAUAUAUACUUAAAAAUUACAAUGCAUUUCAAUUGCCUACAUUGCAAACACUAAUGAUUUGUUCUUAUUGCAUAUUUGUUGAGAAUUUAACCUUUAUUUUAGCUAGAGCUUUCUACCAUCCACAUAAAAAUGCAGUACUCUAAUCUGAAGACAAUUUACGUUUGAGCUAGUUACCUGGUGUCCACCUUACCUUGAACCUGCUUUGCAGGGAGGACUCAGACUAACUCACUCAACUACUAAUUGUCCUCUGUUGCCCUUCACAGAACAGGCUUUCCCCUCCAUCUCUCUCUGCCUGCUCCAGGGACAGGUCAGGGCUCCUGGGACUGACCAGGAACAUCAAAGCCAGCAGAACAAGGGCCAGUGGAGAUGCUCCACACCUCCAUGUCAGCACUAGCCACAGACAGGACUCGGUAACUCAAACAGAGCUCCCCUGUGGCGUGGUCAGGUCUGGGUGAAUACAGGCUCAGAGCUUGCGGUCCAUCCCCAGGCCUAGCCGUGCAGUUCGGAUGUCAGCAAAUAGCAACUUGGCUUCUCAGGUUUUCUCAGUGAAAGAUGUGAUCUAACUGUACAACGAAUAAGCAAAUAGAGGUUUUUGUGUCAGCACUUACAAUGCCUAAGCAAUUAAAAAAAAGAUGAGCUUGGCAGAUUAGGAAAAGUACAAAAAACCCAAAACCAUAUCAACAGCCUGCUAAAAGCCACAGAAGUGGAAACACCAGUGUUGAACAACCCGGCUGCCAGGCCUCCUCCAGGCUCUCCAUGAGCUUCAAACCCAGCACCUGACGUUGCACAGGGAAUGGAGGCUGGGCUGGUGAAGCUGAAAUUAAAGGCGUGUACUGCAUUGCUGUCAGCUGUUAUUAUUCAUUUGGUUGCUGUUUUAGGCUCAAAAUCAGAUCUGCUUUGCACUGACAAGAAUAAUAUUUAUGAGUCAUAGGAUGACCCUGUGAGCUAGGAGCCUACCGUUUGUGAGCCGUACUGCUUCAGGAGCGCAUAUCCAGUCACCACCUGGCUACAGACUAGGCAGCACUGUCCUCUCCGCCUCAACAACUUUAUAAUCUUCAGCAUCGAAACAAUCAAGACUCUAAAGAACCUAAAAAAUUAAUUCUACUCUCACUUUGUACAUCUCCCUUAACACCCACUCAUUAACAGAUUGAGACGAUUCCUACAUUAAUACCAAGAGAGGGGAUGUAAAAUACUUUCUAUGUACUAAAUACUGUCUGUAUUUUCUGUACUGCUUUGGGUAUGAUACAGUUAAAGCACGCUAUCGCUUUGUUUGGAACGAAUUAUAAAUAUUGAUGAGACAUUUAUUUACAGAACAUUCUUUUUGCUGCCCUCCACCUUGUGUUACAAUAGCAACUGCUGGUUUCUUAUAUUUGCCUUUAUUAUUGUUUAUAUAUUUUUACAUUAUCCUAAGCAACACAUAUUUGAUGUGGCUAUAAAAAGAUUGAGUCAUGCUGUGUCACAACAGGGUUUUCUUUUAACUGGAAAAAAAAGCAAAUAUUUUUGUAUUUCAAGGUGUUUAAAAAUAGUACGUCUAAAAAUAAAGCACUAAAAACAAGGGAUCAGAAGAGACUGCACAUUCCGCCUCUGAGAAAGAGCCUUGUAGUUUAGACAGAGUUCUGAUGGAGAGAGAAACAACCACCUACAUGCCAUAAAUAAUCAUUCCUCAUUUUCACAAAGGGAAAAAUUGCCAUCCUGAAUCUCUGACAGCUUUUCUCAGUAGCAAACAUCAAUCCUCCAUCACAGUGCAGAAGGGACUCAGCCUCCAACGAGUGUCAAAUGAUCACAAGCACAACCUUUUCUUUCCCUUUCCAGCUACAACAGUGUAUUAUUGCAUAAAAUCCUUGUAGUUUUGGAGGCAUGUGUCUGUCUACUCAGAUUAGUAUUAUAAAUACAAUA